AUGAACGCUAGCUACAGGCUUAACACAUGCAAGUCGAGGGGCAGCAUGGUCUUAGCUUGCUAAGGCUGAUGGCGACCGGCGCACGGGUGAGUAACACGUAUCCAACCUGCCGUCUACUCUUGGCCAGCCUUCUGAAAGGAAGAUUAAUCCAGGAUGGGAUCAUGAGUUCACAUGUCCGCAUGAUUAAAGGUAUUUUCCGGUAGACGAUGGGGAUGCGUUCCAUUAGAUAGUAGGCGGGGUAACGGCCCACCUAGUCAACGAUGGAUAGGGGUUCUGAGAGGAAGGUCCCCCACAUUGGAACUGAGACACGGUCCAAACUCCUACGGGAGGCAGCAGUGAGGAAUAUUGGUCAAUGGGCGAUGGCCUGAACCAGCCAAGUAGCGUGAAGGAUGACUGCCCUAUGGGUUGUAAACUUCUUUUAUAAAGGAAUAAAGUCGGGUAUGCAUACCCGUUUGCAUGUACUUUAUGAAUAAGGAUCGGCUAACUCCGUGCCAGCAGCCGCGGUAAUACGGAGGAUCCGAGCGUUAUCCGGAUUUAUUGGGUUUAAAGGGAGCGUAGAUGGAUGUUUAAGUCAGUUGUGAAAGUUUGCGGCUCAACCGUAAAAUUGCAGUUGAUACUGGAUGUCUUGAGUGCAGUUGAGGCAGGCGGAAUUCGUGGUGUAGCGGUGAAAUGCUUAGAUAUCACGAAGAACUCCGAUUGCGAAGGCAGUCUGCUAAGCUGCAACUGACAUUGAGGCUCGAAAGUGUGGGUAUCAAACAGGAUUAGAUACCCUGGUAGUCCACACGGUAAACGAUGAAUACUCGCUGUUUGCGAUAUACGGCAAGCGGCCAAGCGAAAGCGUUAAGUAUUCCACCUGGGGAGUACGCCGGCAACGGUGAAACUCAAAGGAAUUGACGGGGGCCCGCACAAGCGGAGGAACAUGUGGUUUAAUUCGAUGAUACGCGAGGAACCUUACCCGGGCUUGAAAGUUAGCGACGAUUCUUGAAAGAGGAUUUCCCUUCGGGGCGCGAAACUAGGUGCUGCAUGGUUGUCGUCAGCUCGUGCCGUGAGGUGUCGGCUUAAGUGCCAUAACGAGCGCAACCCUUGUUGUCAGUUACUAACAGGUGAUGCUGAGGACUCUGACAAGACUGCCAUCGUAAGAUGUGAGGAAGGUGGGGAUGACGUCAAAUCAGCACGGCCCUUACGUCCGGGGCUACACACGUGUUACAAUGGGGGGUACAGAGGGCCGCUACCACGCGAGUGGAUGCCAAUCCCUAAAACCCCUCUCAGUUCGGACUGGAGUCUGCAACCCGACUCCACGAAGCUGGAUUCGCUAGUAAUCGCGCAUCAGCCACGGCGCGGUGAAUACGUUCCCGGGCCUUGUACACACCGCCCGUCAAGCCAUGGGAGCCGGGGGUACCUGAAGUGCGUAACCGCGAGGAUCGCCCUAGGGUAAAACUGGUGACUGGGGCU
rnacentral:rRNA from 1 species